AGUUCGAGUCCUAUACUAUGCCUAUCUCUAGAGAGUAGAGCAGUUUGGGAUUUGCUGSUUCAACAUGGGAGGUAGACUCCUUCCRAGGCUAAAUAUUGGCGAGAGACCGAUMGUGAACAAGUACCGUAAGGGAAAKAUGAAAUAGUACUCUGUAAAGGGAGUCAAAAAGUCGUGAAAUUGUUGCGAGAGAACCGAUUCAAGUCAGCCUCAAGCUAGAGCCCCUCUUAGGGCCUUAGCCAAUAAUGCUUCUUGGACUAGCUUUGCCAGCGGUCUUGUCGUUUUCUUAUAUCGACUUGACUUGGCUUCAUGCGCGAGCACCAACAAAGCCCAAGCCCUUGGCUUGACCGUUGUUGAUGAUCACCGAGUGGGAACGCGCUGCUGGCAGAAUGGCUUGCAAUCGACCCGUCUUGAAACACGGACCAAGGAGUCUAACAUGUAUGCGAGUAUAAGGGUGACAAAACCCGUAUGCGCAAUGAAAGUGACUAUCGUUUGCAUGGUUGUUGUGCGCCUGACGACUGGUACGAAAUCAGCUGCUCCUCAGACGGCCACUGCCCAGGUUCUAUGGUAUGAUCCCAUGAACAUGGAGACGGAGCAUACAUGCUAGG
rnacentral:rRNA from 1 species